GAGAGACGCGACUGAGAGUGGAAUAGAUUGUCUUCUGUAGAUAGUCUCUGCCCCGCACGCAUGUCACCGAACAACCGGGACCGGGCAAUUCGUCCAGCAGCAUGGACGCGCCUCCGCCCUCACAGCCGGACGAUGCUGCUCCGGCGCCCUCCUCGACCUUGGCUUCUGCUCCCUCUCCGGCGCCAACAUCCAACCCACCCACUUCCGCCGCCGCCGCCGCACCCGCCCCGGACUCCGCCAUCGCCAACCCUAACCCGAACCUAGGUACCGUCGCAAACCCUGCUCAAACCCUAGAGGCUCCUGGCCCCAGCUCCGCCGCCGCGCGGCCGCCGCCGCCGCGAAUGAGAACGCCUUACACGCACCUGGCCGCGCCCAUCACGAUGUCGUCCUCCUCCUCUGCUGCCACAGCCGCGGCCUCCUCGGCAUCCGUUCCGGCCGCAUCCUCCUCGGCUCCUCCUAUACCACGCGGAGGGGUUGUCCUGGGGGUGCCCGCGCCGCGUUCCGCACAGACGCCCGCUGGUUACACUGGGUUCGUUCCGCCGCCUCCGCUUGCUCACCAGUUUGGAUCGAUGCAUCGAGGCCCCGACCAGCCCCCACCUUCAUCUUCACAGUUUAGGCAACCUUCCCCUGGGACUCAGAAUAUUGGGAUUGUUGGAUCACUCAAUACAUCCCAGAUUAGUCCAGGCACAAUAUCUGGUCCGCAGAAGCCCAGACCUGGUCUUCCAUCAUCAACUCCUAUUCCAUCUGGUAGCCAAAUGCCAGGUUCACAAAGACCCCCAUCUCAGUCUUUAAUGAGGCCGGUGACUGUGAGUUCUCCUUCGCUGGCUUCACAACAAACUCCACAAAGUUCGUCUUCAACAUUUAGGCCCCAACAGAGGCCACAAGUUUCACAACCAAGACCACAACAAUCUCAACUUGUUACUCCACCUCAACAGAACACAAUUUUAACACAGCAGCAGCAGCAGCAGAAACAACAACAGAGUGCCUCACAUCAAAAUCAACAAAUUGCUGCCCCUAAAAAUCAGCCACAGCUUUCUCAGCAUCCAACUGCUCGUACUCCAAUAUCAAUGACACCAAAGCCUGAUUUGCCUGCUAUACAAAAUGUUGCUGUUUUACAAUCUGUGGAUACAGCUGCAACUGAUGCAAAUGCUAGUGAAACUGGUACUCGAUUACUCACCAAGAGAAGUAUACAUGAAUUAGUUGCACAGAUUGAUCCUAAUGAAAAGCUGGAUCCUGAAGUUGAAGAUGUUCUUAUUGACAUCGCAGAAGAUUUUGUUGAGUCUGUCACAACUUUUGCUUGUUCUUUAGCAAAGCAUAGGAAGUCAAGCACAUUAGAAGCAAAAGAUGUACUCCUACAUGCAGCUUAGUGUUGUCCAUUACAGAAAGAAGCUGGAAUAUCACCUUGCCAGGCUUCAGUGGUGAUGAAAUCAAACUGUACAAGAAACAGCACAUAAAUGAUAUUCACAGGGAGAGGCUUGCUCUGAUAAAGAAGUCCAUGGCGACUGACACGAGAAACUCUGCUGCCCAAGCUGCAGCUAACCAGAAAAAUCAGACUCCGAAACCACCUGCCCCAGCUUCCCCGUGAAACAUGUCCACAGGCCCUGCAAACACAGUAUCAGUGUACCACGCAUCACAUCUGUGGUGUUCGGACAGUUGUCGGUUGUAUGUUGGUAGUGUUGCAAUGAGUACAUGUAUAGAUUAUUCUGUCGUUACUCGUUACUAGGAUCUGGUUAGAAUGUUGUUUAGUUAAUCCAAUGCAUGGUUUCUGUUAUUGUAUAUCACUUCUGUUCUAAACUAUAAAUCAUUUAGGGCUAGUCUAGGAGCCACAAAACCUGAGUGGAUUGAAGGGGUUAAAAUCCCCUCAUUUAAUUUUAAAUAAGAAGGGAAAAUAUCAUAUGCAAUCA